rnacentral:rRNA from 1 species
AUGGCGCAAGAUAAUACCAAAUUGUGUGAUUACUCGAAUACCAAUAACAAUGAUUUCCUUAGUACUCCAAUUGCUCCUCUUAAUGAUGUUGAGUCUUGUGAAAUCAAUACUGCUUUACUGAAUCUUGUUAUGAAAGAUCAAUUUGCCGGCCUUCCUAGUGAAGAUUCCGCUACUCAUCUAAACAACUUUGUUGAUUUGUGUGAUAUGCAAAAGAAGAAAUAUACGGAUAACAAUAUUGUCAAAUUGAAGUUAUUUCCGUUUUCUCUUAGAGAUCGUGCUAAAGUUUGGUUUUCGUCUUUGCCUAAAAAUAGUAUUGAUUCUUGGAACAAGUGCAAAGAUGCUUUUAUCUCUAAAUAUUUUCCUCCCACUAAGAUUAUCACUCUUAGGAACGAUAUCAUGAAUUUUAAACAACUUGAUCAUGAGCAUGUUGCCCAAUCUUGGGAAAGAAUGAAAUUGAUGCUUCGCAAUUGCCCUACUCAUGAUUUGAAUUUAUGGAUGAUCAUACAAAAAUUUUAUGCCGGUUUGAACUUUGCUUCUAGAUAUCUCUUAGAUUCGGCCGCGGGAGGCACGUUUAUGGAAAUCACGUUAGGAGAUGCUACAAAACUUCUUGAUAAUAUUAUGGCUAAUUAUUUUCAAUGGCACACCGAAAGAUCUUCUAGUAAAAAAGUCCAUGCUAUAGAAUAA